UGCCCCCUGGCCCAGUUGGUUAAGGCGCACGACUGUUAUUAAAUGCUUAGUCAUUCGACGCAGCAUUCCUGAAACAGUUCAAUCGUGAGAUCGAGAGUUCGAGCCUCUCGGGGGCAG